ACAGAGCAGUCAGUUAGUGCAUAAUACUGAUAGUUAAAUAAUUUUAAAUACAUUUUUUAAUUUAAUAAAAUCUUAUAAAAUGCAUCGGUGUUCACGAUCAGAAAUUGGGUCAUUGUCUGAAAAUGAUGACAAAGAAGUGGUAUUUGAAAAGUACAUAAAAUAUAAACAGAUGAGCAAAGAUUUAAUUACAGAAAAUGAAGAACUAAAACAAGUAAUUAUCUUUCUAUUAAAAAAUACAAUUUUUUAUUUUAGUUACAUUUAAUUACUAGUUAGUAGAUAAUAAUACUAACAAAUAUAAAAAAGCUACAACAUACAAUAUUAAAAACACAUUAUCUUUUAUUAAUUUCUAGAAAAAUACAACUCUAGACCGGCAAUUAAAUUUGGAGGUUCUCAAAGUUGAAGAUUUGGAGCUAGACAAUAAAGAGUUGGCAGAGAAGGCUCAAAAUCUCGAGCGCAUAAUAGUAACUUGAAAAAUUAACUUUAACCCACUAUAAUUAUUUAAUAUUUUAAUGUACAUACAUUAAAUACUAUAUUAAUUUAAAAUCAAGUAUAGGAAACCCAAGAAAAAGAAUUUCAAGUGAAGUUAACAGUAUCACAGCAAACGACAAUAGGAUUGGAAGAAGAAGUUGUGCUGUUAAAAAGUCGUAUAGAAAAGUUGAAUGAGGAAUUGAUACUAAGGCAGCAAGACGCUUCAAAAUACAUAGAAAAAUUUGAACUACAAUUAUCCAAAUUAAAACUGGAAGACGAUGUUUUUGUGAAAACGUGUAAUUCAUGGUGGUGCCCUAAACACAGCAGCUUGAAGCAAGAUUUGCCUUUUUUAGUUCCAGCAACUUUGGAGGAAAAACAGGCGUUGCGACUGGCAGUUACCUGACAAAAGUAU